rnacentral:sRNA from 7 species
UAACAUCAAACUCAGAUGUUGAGCGUGAAGGAUAACGUUGCGUCAGCAACGGCCCGAAGGGCGAGGCGAAGCCGAGUCAUCCUGCACGACCCACCA